GCAUCAGUGGUUUAGUGGUAAAAUCCAUCGUUGCCAUCAAAUCCAGAUGUCGAUGGGCCCCGCGUUCGAUUCGCGGCUGAUGCA